AACGAACGCUGGCGGCAUGCCUAACACAUGCAAGUCGAACGAGACCUUCGGGUCUAGUGGCGCACGGGUGCGUAACGCGUGGGAACCUGCCCUUAGGUUCGGAAUAACUCCCCGAAAGGGGUGCUAAUACCGGAUAAUGUCUUCGGACCAAAGAUUUAUCGCCUUUGGAUGGGCCCGCGUUGGAUUAGCUAGUUGGUAGGGUAAAAGCCUACCAAGGCGACGAUCCAUAGCUGGUCUGAGAGGAUGAUCAGCCACACUGGGACUGAGACACGGCCCAGACCCCUACGGGGGGCAGCAGGGGGGAAUAUGGGACAAUGGGCAAAAGCCUGAUCCAGCAAUGCCGGGGGAGUGAUGAAGGCCUUAGGGUUGAAAAGCUCUUUUACCCGGGAUGAUAAGGACAGUACCGGGAGAAUAAGCCCCGGCUAACUCCGU
rnacentral:rRNA from 1 species